AGCUGAACCAUACUGUAAAGAGUGUUACUUUAGUACAACCAUGCACAUAGUUACAAAAGCCAUCAUGGACUACAAUGCUCAAGCUGACGGACUCGAAGUGCAUACAUAAAUUGAUAGUGAUACCAGCAGAAAUUGAAAAGCAAAAGAAACUAUGCCUGAAGUAAUGAAUAAAUAUUCAAGAUAUGAUGCACUGAAGAGAUGUGGUCAAAAAAGGAGUAAUAAAGAAUGGAAUUUCUCAAGUAUAGAUGUAAACCAAACACACAGCAAAAGAUCAGAUAAACGAGAAUAAACAUACUAGUAAGCCCUGCCCUCAUCAUCUCAAGCAUAAGUAGAAAUUAUGCUUUGGUUCUGUCAAAGCAUGUCGACUUAACUCAGAAUCAACAAGAACAUACAUUAGUAAGCCUGCCCUCAUCAUUUCAGGCAAUAGUAGAAAUUAUGCCUUGGUUCUGUCAAAGCAUGUCGACUUAACUCGCUGGUCAGUGGUUAAGUCAGGUGACAGAGGAUUACAUACUUAAACAAGAUUUGAAUGGCUGAAGGAACUUCCGUAGACUCAGUGCACAAGAUAUAUAGAGCCAAUGCUGGCUAACUUAUUAUCAAUAACUUACCUUGGCGUAGUAAUCUUUCCAAACUCUGCGAGCAAUCUGAUGACCUCCCAAGUCAAAUGCCUUAAACUUAAUUUUCCCAAUACUUAGUUCUUCAGAUGUGGGAUACUGGGUAGGUUGAU